rnacentral:rRNA from 1 species
AUUGAACGCUGGCGGCAGGCCUAACACAUGCAAGUCGAACGAGUGGCGGACGGGUGAGUAAUGUCUGGGAAACUGCCCGAUGGAGGGGGAUAAUUACUGGAAACGGUAGCUAAUACCGCAUACCAUCGGAUGUUCCCAGAUGGGAGUAGCUAGUAGGUGGGGUAACGGCUCACCUAGGCGACGAUCCCUAGCUGGUCUGAGAGGAUGACCAGCCACACUGGAACUGAGACACGGUCCAGACUCCUACGGGGGGCAGCAGAAGGGAAUAUUGCACAAUGGGCGCAAGCCUGAUGCAGCCAUGCCGCGUGUAUGAAGAAGGCCUCCGGAUUGUAAAGUACUUUCAGCAGGGAGGCGUUACUCGCAGAAGAAGCACCGGCUAACUCCGUGCCAGCAGCCGCGGUAAUUC